UACGGGGGGGGGCAAGCGUUGUUCGGAAUUACUGGGCGUAAAGGGCUCGUAGGCGGCCAACUAAGUCGGAUGUGAAAUCCCCAAGCUUAACUUGGGAACUGCAUCCGAUACUGGAUGGCUUGAAUCUGGGAGAGGGAUGCAGAAUUCCAGGUGUAGCGGUGAAAUGCGUAGAUAUCUGGAGGAAUACCGGUGGCGAAGGCGGCAUCCUGGACCGGCAUUGACGCUGAGGAGCGAAAGCUAGGGGAGCAAACGGG
rnacentral:rRNA from 1 species